rnacentral:rRNA from 2 species
GUUGACGUUACCUACAGAAGAAGCACUGGCUAACUCUGUGCCAGCAGCCGCGGUAAUACAGAGAGUGCAAGCGUUAAUCGGAAUCACUGGGCGUAAAGCGCGCGUAGGUGGAUAUUUAAGUCGGAUGUGAAAGCCCUAGGCUUAACCUAGGAACUGCACUCGAUACUGGGUAUCUCGAGUAUGGUAGAGGGAAGUGGAAUUUCCGGUGUAGCGGUGAAAUGCGUAGAUAUCGGAAAGAACACCAGUGGCGAAGGCGGCUUCCUGGACCAAUACUGACACUGAGGCGCGAAAGCGUGGGGAGCAAACAGGAUUAGAGACCCUGGUAGUCCACGCCGUCAACGAUGAGAACUAGCUGUUGGAGAGUUUACUUUCUAGUAGCGAAGCUAACGCGUUAAGUUCUCCGCCUGGGGAGUACGGCCGCAAGGUUAAAACUCAAAGAAAUUGACGGGGGCCCGCACAAGCGGUGGAGCAUGUGGUUUAAUUCGAUGCAACGCGAAAAACCUUACCUAC